GAUGAACGCUGGCGGCGUGCCUAAUACAUGCAAGUCGAGCGAACAGACGAGGAGCUUGCUCCUCUGACGUUAGCGGCGGACGGGUGAGUAACACGUGGAUAACCUACCUAUAAGACUGGGAUAACUUCGGGAAACCGGAGCUAAUACCGGAUAAUAUAUUGAACCGCAUGGUUCAAUAGUGAAAGACGGUUUUGCUGUCACUUCUAGAUGGAUCCGCGCCGCAUUAGCUAGUUGGUAAGGUAACGGCUUACCAAGGCAACGAUGCGUAGCCGACCUGAGAGGGUGAUCGGCCACACUGGAACUGAGACACGGUCCAGACUCCUACGGGAGGCAGCAGUAGGGAAUCUUCCGCAAUGGGCGAAAGCUUGACGGAGCAACGCCGCGUGAGUGAUGAAGGUCUUCGGAUCGUAAAACUCUGUUAUUAGGGAAGAACAAAUGUGUAAGUAACUAUGCACGUCCUGACGGUACCUAAUCAGAAAGCCACGGCUAACUACGUG
rnacentral:rRNA from 1 species